rnacentral:rRNA from 1 species
GACGAACGCUGGCGGCGUGCUUAACACAUGCAAGUCGAACGGAAAGGCCCUGCUUGCAGGGUACUCGAGUGGCGAACGGGUGAGUAACACGUGGGUGAUCUGCCCUGCACUUCGGGAUAAGCCUGGGAAACUGGGUCUACUACCGGAUAGGAGCCAUUUUUAGCGUGAUGGUUGGAAAGUUUUUUCGGUGUAGGAUGAGCUCGCGGCCUAUUAGCUUGUUGGUGGGGUAAUGGCCUACCAAGGCGGCGACGGGUAGCCGGCCUGGGAGGGUGGACGGCCACAGUGGGACUGAGGGACGGCCCAGACUCCUACGGGAGGGAGCAGGGGGGAACAUUGCACCAUGGGCGCAAGACUGAUGCAGGGACGCCGCGUGGGGGAUGACGGCCUUCGGGUUGGAAACUCCUUUCGCUAGGGACGAAGCUUUUUGUGACGGUACCUAGAUAAGAAGCACCGGCUAACUACGUG